UGGGGGAUAUUGCACAAUGGGGGAAACCCUGAUGCAGCGACGCCGCGUGAGUGAAGAAGUAUUUCGGUAUGUAAAGCUCUAUCAGCAGGGAAGAAAUACUGACCGCAAGGUCAGCAGACAGUACCUGAGUAAGAAGCCCCGGCUAACUACGUGCCAGCAGCCGCGGUAAUACGUAGGGGGCAAGCGUUAUCCGGAUUUACUGGGUGUAAAGGGAGCGUAGACGGCUUUGCAAGUCUGAAGUGAAAGCCCGGGGCCCAACCCCGGGCACUGCUUUGGAAACUGUGUAGCUAGAGUACAGGAGGGGCAGGCGGAAUUCCUGGUGUAGCGGUGAAAUGCGUAGAUAUCAGGAGGAACACCGGCGGCGAAGGCGGCCUGCUGGACUGAAACUGACGUUGAGGCUCGAAAGCGUGGGGAGCAAACAGGAUUAGAUACC
rnacentral:rRNA from 1 species